UCUCUGCCGCUCACCCCCUUCAUUUUCUUCAUCUUCUUUUUUCUCUCCGCCUCCCCUCCUACUAUUUCCUGUUCCCCACCACCGCCGCCUACCCCACUCCCAUUUCCCUCUGUUCCCCACUUAAUUUUGUUUCCCCCCGCUCCUCCUUCUCUCUAUUCCCUCAACACAAAGUGAAAACCCUAUAAAAGGGGUGGCGGGUUGAAUCGUUGAGGACAGGUUGGAAAGCCCCCCAAAAAAGGCAUACAGAUCUUGAACCCCGAAAUUUCCUGAAAAGAACAAGUUUUUCCAUUGGCGAAAUCCCCUGAAAAUAACGAAUUUUCCGGUGGUGGAAAUCCCCUGAAAAUAUUGAGUCUGCCAACCGCCUUUGUUUCCCUCUAAAAUAUUAGCCCACUGUUUUCUUAAUAUUCAAAGUGUCGAGCCAUUUUAUUUUUUGCAUUUUGGCCUUGUUAUUGUUUUCGCAUCCGAGUCUACGCAAACUCGGAGAUUUGAAGUGCUCGAGUGUAGAUUGGAGACCCCGUAUCCAUUUCGCUGCACCCGAAGAAGGUUCAUUCUUCCACAAAGAUGAGAUAUCAGCCACUGCUUCAGAAACAGUUAGAUAUAUUCCAUUUAAUCCGAAGCCCUCAAGAGCACUAGAUUCAUGCAACUUUUCCAUAACAUUCCCACCUGGAUUUGCCAGCAUAAGCUGAAAAGUGAAAAAGGACAACAAAUGUUUGUAAGAAAAAUAUUUGACUAAUGAAGGGAAACAAAGAAGCAUAUUUUAUGUGGCUGAUGGAUUUACCUUAAGAGAUCGUUUAUCCAGCGUCCUUCUUAGUUCACAUAUAGUGUCGAUUCAACUUGAAUCUAUGGUUGAUACAGCUGGUGAAGGAAGACAUAAUUUUGUUACUCAACAUAUUGGAUACAAAUUAAAAGAUGAGAAAAUGUUGUCAUUUUUUUUUCUCUUCAAUCGACCUGUCAUGUCGAUAAUUACACAUUUGAUUGCAGUUUCUUUGUUGGCUGCUAUCCUCUCUUCCUCUUCGCGGAUCCAUCUCAAUAUCCUGUAGUUACAAAAUGUGAAUUUCAAGUAAAUAAAACUGUGAAAUUGUGAAA